AAUAAGUUCACAAAAUCAAGUAUCAAUCUUAAUUAAGAUCUUAGCCCUUAUAAACACAUAGUAGGAUCGACUAGGUAGAUAAGGAGUUAUAACGGUAGGCACAGGGUGCCGAACGGUAGGCUCAGAGGCCAAAACUGUGAUAGCAGGGCUCUGUGGCCAUGCUUAUGAGGUACCAAAUAUGUAACCUCUAAUAUAGAUCAUGUAUCGGUAGCAGUACUGCGAACUCUGUAUGUUUAUAUGGCAUGCCAUACCCUUAAGCUAACCUCGACUCCUAUUACGUUUACCAGGGCCAAGU
rnacentral:lncRNA from 1 species